UUGACAAUAGUCAGUGGAAACUCUUGUCUGGGAAUGAGUUCAAAGCACUGUGAUUACCAAGAGUGGGAUUGUGAAAAUCAAGUACAGCCCAUGGGGAAAAAGCUCUCAUCAUGAAGACUAUCUAGACAGGGAAUGGAGAUGAAUCAAUGCAAUUGGAGAUUCAAGCUGUGAAACUGGAAGCUAUUUGAGAUCAUUGAAUGGAUGGUGCAUUUAAAACUGUGUGUGGGUGAACAGGAUGGAGUGCUUGGGGUUCUCACACCCUAACUGCCUGCCUUCCUCAGCCUUUGGGAUCUAUUGAUGUGUGUCGUGAAACAACUGCCAGGCCAGCCAGGGAGAUGGCCCUUGUGUGGGGCCCCAGCACAAGGAUUCCAGGAGG
rnacentral:lncRNA from 10 species